rnacentral:rRNA from 1 species
CAGUAGCCACGGUAAUACGUAGGGUGCAAGCGUUAAUCGGAAUUACUGGGCGUAAAGCGUGCGCAGGCGGUUUGUUAAGACAGAUGUGAAAUCCCCGGGCUCAACCUGGGAACUGCAUUUGUGACUGGCAAGCUAGAGUGUGGCAGAGGGGGGUGGAAUUCCGCGUGUAGCAGUGAAAUGCGUAGAUAUGCGGAGGAACACCGAUGGCGAAGGCAGCCCCCUGGACCAACACUGACGCUCAUGCACGAAAGCGUGGGGAGCAAACAGGAUUAGAUACCCCCGUAGUCCCUGUCUCUUAUAA